rnacentral:lncRNA from 1 species
GCUAUUUCUUUGGGCCGCUCCCACGGCAUAUGGAGGUUCCCAGGCUAGGGGUUGAAUCGGAGCUGUAGCCACCGGCCUACACUAGAGCCACAGCAAUUCAGGAUCCGAGCCGCGUCUGCAACCUACACCACAGAUCAUGGCAAUGCCGGAUCGUUAACCCACUGAGCAAGGGCAGGGAUCGAACCCACAACCUCAUGGUUCCUAGUCGGAUUCGCCAACCACUGCGCCACGACGGGAACUCCAGACUGGAUCAAUAUACUCUCCCUAUAGAUCUCGUUUUAGAAAAACAAAGGAAACUACAAAUGAAAAACACUUCUCAUGGUGUAUAUUAACAGAGCAUUCUAAUAAUCAUUGAGGAUGAAAAACUUUAUAAUAUAUGCAUUUUUAAAGUCAUGAAUAAUUAAACAACCUGAAUCCUGGACAAAUGUGCAGCACAAUCAGCAAGCAUUUUCCAUAUUUUUCUAAAUUCUAAAAUUCACUGGACUCUUUAAAAAAACUCUUAAUUGGGUGGAUAGUAACCUAAAGAACUUCCUUCACUCCAUACACAGAAUCAGUUAUUUGGCACCCAGAGUGGCCAGUUUAAGGAUAAUUUGAAAGAUUUUUAUCAAAUCACUGCAAAAUCUGGAGCUCAAAAUGGUGUAGUCAUUGUCAAAAUGGACUUGAGAAAGCAGGGGGGAGGUUAGUUCAGAAAAGCCAAAAGGACAAUUAAAAUACAUGUCUUCAUUCUCCUGGACAAAAAAUCCAUUUUCUAUGGGAAAAGCAAGAAUUCUUUCCUUUAAAAUUCAUUAAAUUUUGAAAUUUUCAUGAAAACAGCAUCAGAAUGAACUCUUGGGAGAUUUAACUUAAUUUUGAAAUGGCAAGGAAAAUUCAUAUUAGGAUUCUGAAUCAGAAAAGAAUGCGUGGGUAUAAAUACAUACUAAGCUAGUUAUAUUUUCAUUAUCUUGUAGCUUCAUCUUACCACAUGAUAUUAUUUUAUUUCCAUGACAGUAGAUUGCAGUAGCUGCCCAUUAGCUAGAUUAAGGGGAUUCAUAACUGAAUUAAGACAGGGCAAAUAAGUAACCAAUUGAACAAUUCGUGGUGAAGUAUUUUUUAUGGUAUUUCCCAGAUGAUUUUAGUAAGAUAAAAACAUGAUGUGUUCAAAAGUACUGAAAGCUGAAUUUCACAGAUAUAACAUAUAUACCUGCUGAAAGAUCAUCUAUUAACUCACAUAAUUUACAUGUAAAGAACACAUAAGUAAAACAAAUUUGAAUGUAUGUUUAAGCUCACUACUAGGAGGGAAAUUAAGACUGUAGUAUGCCUACACAUCCUCUACAUAAGCCCAGAAAAUUAUUUUCCCAUUUUGAAGUUAAGAACCCAAGUCUCAAAAUAACAGAUAAGCAAUCUAUAGAUUAAAAUUUGAACCACAUUUCUUAAUAUUUUCUUGCUUCUCUUUAGUGUUGAUAUAAAUAAAUUUUAUGUACUAAUUCAUUCACUCAUUCAUUCAUUAUCUAAGAUAAAAUGUCUCCUCUUGAUGCUAUAAUUGAACAGAUCUAUCUAUUCAUAGCACAGUCUUCAAGUAAGCUUACUUAGGCAACAAAUAAUCUUAGAUUCCCAACCUUGAUAUUUAUUAGUUGUAUGGUUGUUGGCACUCUUUCUCUCUAUAAGCACUAGCUUCCUCACUUGUAAAAUGAGACUAAUAAGAGUAUCUACUCAGUAGGGUGGUUCUGGAAAUUAAAGGAGAUAAUAUACAGAGCCUGGAACAAAGUUAAUAUUCAAAAACAUUACCAAAUACUGAGUAAAAAUUAAUAAUGAUUUGACUAUCGAAGCACUUAGGAGGUCUCUUUAUAACAACAUCUCAUAAGAGUUGUGUAGUAUUCUACAGAACUAAUAAACAAUGAAAACUCUAUCAAUAAAGACAGAGCUAGAGGGAGUUCCCAUUAGGGCUCAGCGGAAACAAAUCUGACUAGCAUCCAUGACGAUGCAGGUUCGAUCCCUGGCCUUGCUCAGUGAGUUAAAGAUCCAGCAUUGCCAUGAGCUGUGGUGUAGGUCACAGAGGCGGCUCAGAUAUGGCAUUGCCAUGGCUGUGGCAUAGGCCAGCAGCUACAGCUCCAAUUAGACCCCUAGCCUGGGAACAUCCAUUGCCAUGGGUGCAGCCCUAAAAAGCAAAAUAAAAAGGAAGAAAAAAAGAGUUUGUGGAGUACUCUUCUGGUGCAGCAAGUUAAAAAUGCAGUUUUGUCACUGCAGUUGCUUGGGUCACUGCUGUGGCAUAGGUUCAAUCCCUGGUGCAGGAACUUCCACAUGCCAUGGGUGGGACCAACAAAUAAUAAUAAUAAUAAUAAUAAUUCGAGUUUGCAUAUUUUCUGUUCCUUUGUGAUGAAACAGCUGAAUAAAUGAAAGGAAGACUAUAAACAUAUCAAACAGUGUAUUAUGUGCCUCAUAUUAAAAUUGAUUAUUUCCUAUAACCUUAAUUCAUAAAUUCAUUUAGUUGUGUAAUUGGAAUUGAUUCUAGCAAAGAAAGUUUUAUCUAUAGUCUUGGAAUAGUAAAUCCUCCUAUUUACAGUUUUAGGAGAGUAAUUCUUGAUACAGGAAGAGAGGGAGAUGGAAUUCUAAAGUUAACUAGACUAUAUAAGAAACAUUUUAGAUAAAUGUGGAGAUAGAAACAUUUACAAACACAUCCUGAAUUUAGAGAUCUUUUAAGUUUCCUCCUAGAGUGUGUGAAAACUCAUGUUGGGACAUCUACAUCUUAAAGGUUUGAUGUAGCUUCUGUGUAAUACCACCUUCAAUCUCUAAAGAACUUUUAUGCUAACAGGUCACCAUGGGUAACAAUAUUCAAACUCACACCCUUAGUUCUAGAAUAGAAACUGCCAGAAAUGUCAUAGACUCCAUUUUCUUUGUCUUUUCUCCUUUCAAGGCUAAAUUUAAGUAACUUAGGCUAAGCCUUGUCAAUUGCAUAUUUGAUGACCACCUGAAAGAGAAAUUUAUUUUCAACAAAAUAACAUUUUCAAAUCUGAAAAAAGGCAUUUUUUUUUUCCUCACAGCAUUUAGCACAACUGUCAUGAAAUAUUCACUUAUGUAACUAUUUGAUUUUUUUUUCAUCCGACCU